UAAAUCAAGAUGAAGUCCAUGCCAAG
rnacentral:piRNA from 1 species